rnacentral:rRNA from 1 species
CCAGACUCCUACGGGAGGCAGCAGUGGGGAAUAUUGCACAAUGGGGGAAACCCUGAUGCAGCGACGCCGCGUGAGUGAAGAAGUAUUUCGGUAUGUAAAGCUCUAUCAGCAGGGAAGAAAAUGACGGUACCUGACUAAGAAGCCUCGGCUAACUACGUGCCAGCAGCCGCGGUAAUACGUAGGGGGCAAGCGUUAUCCGGAUUUACUGGGUGUAAAGGGAGCGUAGACGGUGAUGCAAGUCAGAAGUGAAAGCCCGGGGCUCAACUCCGGGACUGCUUUUGAAACUGUGUGACUGGAGUGCAGGAGAGGUAAGCGGAAUUCCUGGUGUAGCGGUGAAAUGCGUAGAUAUCACGAAGAACUCCGAUUGCGAAGGCAGCAUACCGGCUCCAUACUGACGCUGAGGCACGAAAGCGUGGGGAUCGAACAGGAUUAGAUACCCCAGUAAAC